rnacentral:piRNA from 1 species
UGAUACCUAAGAGAAAGGUUGGGGAA